AUAUAUAUUUUUUUAAAUCAUGAAUCCCUUGAUGCGCAAUGUCGACUUAAAAUUUGGUUUCCAUGCUACACACAAUGUUGCGUAAAAUGAGUACAUUGUACGUUUCAGAAUUUCACAACAUGUUUAUUAUCAACAUUGCGCAAUAAGGGUUGACAAACAAUGUGAUGAUUUCCUAAAUUAUAUGAAUCGAUGAUUAGGUUUUUACUCACAAGCUCAACAGGUCUGACGAAUUCUGUUGAGAACUUAGUGUUAUCGAAUCUACGAUUGGAGAUAGUAAUGAUAUUCUUUUUCUACUUAUUUCAGAUUACUGAUAGGGUUCGACAUGUUUCACUAUAACAGGUCGUUACUAUUCCAUUUCGAUGUCGUCAUCGUUAGGAGAAAAAAAGGCUCUGUUUCUCUGUUGGGUUUAAUUUUGUAUUUCAUCAGAAAUCGAUGUUUCUGACUACUCAACAAGACUAUUGGAUUAUGAGCGCUCUGUAUUUCUAAUAACUUGUUCUCUAUUUCGAUCGUUUGUAAUAUUUUUCAUUUUGUAUUUCGAUAGGACUUUGUACAUUCGGUCGAAAUAUUCCGGUUCGAUCGAUUGGCAGGAUAGGGGUGAAAGUCUCUAGCUCGGACCUGGAUAAAUUUCUAGUACCAGUAAAAUCCUAACACUAAAGAUCCUAUACAUUCAUAAACUCAAGAAUCGGAUUCUUGUGGUAGGUGCUUCGUUACGCCUGUGUAAUUAAGAUCUUACGAUUCGCAAAAUCGGGAUUGUUUUUUGUUUCCUAGAAGUGAUGGAUUUGUUUUUUAAUUGAUGAAAGAUAAAAUUUUUUAUUCAGUGUUUGUAAAACUUGAACAACAGAACUUUUAAUCAAUGCUUUUGCAAUUAAUCUGAUGCAUGGCUUGAAUGUAAAGUUUAAAUAGUAGUUUAACAAAAUUACUGGCGUUUAUUCUCUACUCACAUUUGGCUGAAAACUUUGAAUCAAAAUCGGCGCUUGUCUAGAAGAAUCUAGAACGUUUUGUUGCAGUAUCGUGGAACUGGACUAAAGACAUCCCGAGCUACGGAAAGUUCGAAGAUAUCUAAUUUCCUUUUUCAGCAUUACGACUCAUCUCGAUUACUAUUCGCAUUCUUAGGAAGGUGACAAAAAAAUCAAACGACGGUCCGGUCAACUAAUCUGUUUUAAAUGCAGAAAAGCUACUGUUCUAAAAUGGACACUCAAAAAGAAGUGAACAAUAAACUCGUUAAAUGAA